ACUGCCUCUGGAGGAACUGUAGGUGUGGCUACAUUGUCACAUGUGUGACAGUAAGUGGCACAGUGGAGAGAAUCUAAGUUUCCCUUCAAUGUUCUCACCUAUGAACAUCUGAAUGAUUAGUACCCUUACAUU